UUCCGGUUGAUCCCGCCGGACCUGACUGCUAUCGGAUUGAUACUAAGCCAUGCGAGUCAUUGUAGCAAUACAAGGCAGACGGCUCAGUAACGCGUAGUCAACCUACCCUAUGGACGGGAAUAACCUCGGGAAACUGAGAAUAAUGCCCGAUAGAACACUAUGCCUGGAAUGGUUUGUGUUCCAAAUGAUUUAUCGCCGUAGGAUGGGACUGCGUCCUAUCAGUUUGUUGGUGAGGUAAUGGCCCACCAAGACUAUUACAGGUACGGGCUCUGAGAGGAGUGGCCCGGAGAUGGGUACUGAGACACGGACCCAGGCCCUAUGGGGCGCAGCAGGCGAGAAAACUUUGCAAUGUGCGAAAGCACGACAAGGUUAAUCCGAGUGGUUUCUGCUAAAGGAACCUUUUGUCAGUCCUAGAAACACUGACGAAUAAGGGGUGGGCAAGUUCUGGUGUCAGCCGCCGCGGUAAAACCAGCACCUCAAGUGGUCAGGAUGAUUAUCGGGCCUAAAGCAUCCGUAGCCUGCUUUGUUAGUUUUCGGUUAAAUCUGUACGCUCAACGUACAGGCUGCCGGGAAUACUGCAAAGCUAGGGAGUGGGAGAGGUAGACGGUACUCGGUAGGAAGGGGUAAAAUCCUUUGAUCUAUUGAUGACCACCUGUGGCGAAGGCGGUCUACCAGAACACGUCCGACGGUGAGGGAUGAAAGCUGGGGGAGCAAACCGGAUUAGAUACCCGGGUAGUCCCAGCUGCAAACCAUGCAAACUCAGUGAUGCAUUGGCUUGUGGCCAAUGCAGUGCUGCAGGGAAGCCGUUAAGUUUGCCGCCUGGGAAGUACGUACGCAAGUAUGAAACUUAAAGGAAUUGGCGGGGGAGCACCACAAGGGGUGAAGCCUGCGGUUCAAUUGGAUUCAACGCCGGGAAUCAC
rnacentral:rRNA from 1 species